rnacentral:rRNA from 1 species
UACGUAGGGUGCGAGCGUUGUCCGGAUUUAUUGGGCGUAAAGAGCUCGUAGGCGGUUUGUUGCGUCGACCGUGAAAUCCUGCCGCUUAACGGUGGGACUGCGGUCGAUACGGGCAGACUUGAGUUCGGCAGGGGAGACUGGAAUUCCUGGUGUAGCGGUGAAAUGCGCAGAUAUCAGGAGGAACACCGGUGGCGAAGGCGGGUCUCUGGGCCGAUACUGACGCUGAGGAGCGAAAGCGUGGGGAGCGAACAGG